UCUAACCGUGCAAAGGUAGCGCAAUCAAUUGUCUUUUAAAUGAAGACCUGUAUGAAUGGCAUAACGAGGGUUUAACUGUCUCUUUUUCCUGGCCAAUGAAACUGAUCUGCCCGUGCAGAAGCGGGCAUAAAAAUACAAGACGAGAAGACCCUGUGGAGCUUCAGACACUAACCAACCAUAACAACAACGAACUGACAACAGACCGAAAAAACUAAUGGUCCUGGUAAAAUGUCUUCGGUUGGGGCGACCGCGGUGAGAAAACAAAGCUCCCGAGUGGACUGGGACCCCCUCCUAAAACCUAGAGCCACACCUCAAAGUCUCAAAACAUUUGACCAAUAAUGAUCCGAUAUCUCGAUCAACGAACAAAGUUACCCCAGGGAUAACAGCGCAAUCCCCUCACAGAGCCCAUAUCGACGAGGGGGUUUACGACCUCGAUGUUGGAUCAGGACAUCCCAAUGGUGCAGCCGCUAUUAAAGGUUCGUUUGUUCAACGAUUAAAGUCCU
rnacentral:rRNA from 1 species